rnacentral:rRNA from 1 species
GACGAACGCUGGCGGCGUGCCUAAUACAUGCAAGUAGAACGCUGAAGGAGGAGCUUGCUUCUCUGGAUGAGUUGCGAACGGGUGAGUAACGCGUAGGUAACCUGCCUGGUAGCGGGGGAUAACUAUUGGAAACGAUAGCUAAUACCGCAUAAUAUUGACUAUUGCAUGAUAGUCAGUUGAAAGGUGCAACUGCACCACUACCAGAUGGACCUGCGUUGUAUUAGCUAGUUGGUGGGGUAACGGCUCACCAAGGCGACGAUACAUAGCCGACCUGAGAGGGGGAUCGGCCACACUGGGACUGAGACACGGCCCAGACUCCUACGGGAGGCAGCAGUAGGGAAUCUUCGGCAAUGGACGGAAGUCUGACCGAGCAACGCCGCGUGAGUGAAGAAGGUUUUCGGAUCGUAAAGCUCGGUUGUAAGAGAAGAACGAGUGUGAGAGUGGAAAGCUCACACUGUGACGGUAUCUUACCAGAAAGGGACGGCUAACUACGUG